AUAAUUACAUCUUCACAUGGCCAAUUGAUAGGUGGGGCUGAAGUUCCAGGGCCUGAGCAAUGAGGGGGCCUGUGAUAGGUUGUGGAGGACAAGAAAAGUAUGCCUAGAUUGAUUGGCCAAUGGGAGCACCUGAACUUUUCCGGUGGGCUGAUUGCCGAAACCCCACCCUCCUACACAUUUUAUUCAUUCUUAUCCAGUGUCUGUGCUAUUUCUCUUGAAAAUUUAUGAGUGAUCCAAUGUCUUUGUACUUGUUUAAACUAGAGUUGCAGGUAUCUUUUCAUUACCUUGGCUUAAAUGGAGCGCAUAGGGAACAAACACCAAAAGCCAUGUGAUGAAACGGCGCUACCUGAUUAAACCACGCGCAGCAUGACAGAACAAACUGGACUGGACCAAUGACCUUGGCAUAGCACUUAUGAGCUAGACUGACGCUGUCACCAUUUUACUGAAGUGAUAACCAGCGCUUGACCCAUAUGAUUUAAACAUACAACAUGUACACCGUCAUAGGAUCACAGCUUCUUUGUCUUCCUUUCAGAGAACACUGACAAUCUGAUUGCACAUUACCACAUUACCAGAAAAUCCUGCUUGACUUGACUUGCACAACUUGUCUGCAACACGUUAUGGGCUGCGUGGCCACAGGAGCUGAUCAUGACCACUCUAGUCCAUGCCUGUGUUACACUAGGCGUGCCUUGGCACGUUUCAGAGGCGGCUUACCGCUCCACUUCGCUAAAGAUAUGCGCCUAGUCUAACGCAGUAUAGAAUUAUACAGCAAAAUCUCUGGUCAAACAUAGAUUUU
ensembl:lncRNA